AAAUGUGGCUUCAUCGUUAUUCCUUGGAGUUGUACCAAAAUGCCCCUCAUGCCAAGAUCAUCAAUGGGCUCUGCAGGUUUGACAUCGAGGACUAGGGGACGCGGAACUGCAGCCCAUCUGAAGCUGUGAGAUCGCCGGCCUGGUCUGCCUGAUCUUCUGGCCUCUUCCACCAUCAACCGCAGGUUUGCAGGCCAGAUGACAGCCCUGUGUUCCUGGGCUGACUUCCUCAGCAGCCUUUGUCACUACCACCUCAGGGAUCCUGGGCUGG